rnacentral:misc_RNA from 1 species
UUUCCGUAGGUGAACCUGCGGAAGGAUCAUUCAUAAUAAGUGUUUCAUGGCACUUUUUUAAAUCCAUAUCCACCUUGUGUGCAAUGUCAGGGUUGAUUUUUCUCUCGAGAGGAUCAACCCCAAACAUCAACUAUAUCUCAACUCUUUGUCUGAAAAAUAUUAUGAAUAAAACAAUUCAAAAUACAACUUUCAACAACGGAUCUCUUGGCUCUC